rnacentral:rRNA from 1 species
CCCGGGCCUUGUACACACCGCCCGUCACGCCAUGGGAGUUGGGGCCGCCGGAAGAGGCUUCGCUAACCUUCGGGGAGCAAGUUUCGAUGGUGGAACCGAUGACUGGGGUG